GAAUAUGGGGAGCAACAUAAUAAGGAUAGAGGGGGACUCCGAGGUCUGCGGACGCUGGCAAAUAUACCUUGAAGUCUCCGCGUACGGCUAGCUCACUGAUAUCUAGUUUGAUAGAAAGUACCUGGAUCUACACAAAAAGAUGUGCAAAAGCGUAGUAUGAGUACACCACAACGGUACCAGUAAGUGCCAAGCCUAACCUCAGUAGAGUAGUGACGAGGUCAGGUCAGGCCCUACUGGAAAUAAUAAAAGACAGGGUGAAAAGUUUAACAAUAUAAUAAUAAUAAUGACAAUUGGAAUAAAUUAAGUAAGGAGUAUGUCACAAUUUAACUACACAGAAUAAGGACAAAUAAUAACUCACGGAAGGAAAACAAAAAAUUUUCAUAUUUAAGAAAAACAUAAAAUAACCAAAAGCAAGUGCAGCCAUAGAGAAAUAUCAACAAGGGCACUCCUAAGGUACCGCCUCGUAGUCCCAAAUCAUAAAUAAAUUCACAAUAAUUCUUUUCCUUAUUCACCUCGGGAGCCUUCACAUUUAAUUUUAAAGAAAUUAUUUUCCUGAAAUAGCAUCCCGCGUUUUAACCAUCCUUAUCACACUGCAUGGCUUCUAUUAGUUCCCCCACUAGCCACGCGUAUCAAGCCACCCUUAUCUCACUGCAUGCGUUUCAACACCCAGACCUUAUACCACCGCAUGCGUAUCAAUAUCACAAUUUGCACCUCAAGUGCCCAAAUAUUUUAACUUGCCAAAAUAAAUCAACAACAACAUUAUUUUUCCACAAUAAGGAGCUCACGACUCAAUCACAAUGAAUACAAAAUCUCACAAAAUAUUCGGGGGUGAAUAACUCAACAAAAAAAAAAAAAUAUUUCACAAAUUUAACACUUUGCCUUAAUACCAAAUUUUGAAUAAAAGAAACAAAGCUUCAACUAAAUAGGUAAAGCAAUUAGCAGAAAAAGGUAAGGCAAAUUUAAAAUAUAUAGGUAGACCAAUGAUGAUGAAUAUAACAGGAUAAAUAAUAAUUUAAUUAAUAUGAGACAAAAAUCUACACUAUUUAAAACUAGAAUUUUCCACAUUUAGCUCGUGUACACACUCGUCACCUCAUGUACAUGGCUUUCAACAUAUCACAAUUUUCAUAACAAUACCAAUCCUAAGGGAAAUUUCCCCCACACAAGGUUAGACAAGUCACUUACCUCGAAUCGGGUAAUUCUUUACUCCGCUAUGCCUUUGCCUCGUGAAUUGGCCUCCGAAAGCCUCGUAUCUUAAGGAUUCAAGAUUUUUAUUUAUUUAAAGGGCAAAAAAACUCCAGCCACGUAUACGAUAGCUAAGAUGAAUUGGCAACUAAACUCAACCAACGACUAUGACCACACCGGAGAAACUCGACUAGAACCUCUCGAAGUUACAAACGGACAGCUCUUCGGCUCGACUAGAACCUGUGGUGGCGUUUUGGGGGAGGGCUAUUUCGGGACUAUUUUUCAGCUGUUUUGCAAUUAAUUUUGGGACUUGAGGUCGUUUUUCAAAACUGUUUUGGUCCAUUUUCUGUUGCGUUUUUGCUGCUGGAAAUUGGUGUUUUGGGUGACGUUUUGCUAAGGUUUUCGGCUGCGUUUUGGUGAUGUUUUGGGUGACGCUUUACUGAGGUUUUUGGCUGCAUUUUGAUGGUGUUAACUGGUGGUUAACGGAGGUUCAUGGCUGCAUUUUCAGGCAGAUUUUCAGCUCGUUCUUUGAGCUUUUUGAGGUCGUUUUUGAGCAGCUUUCCCAUGGCUUUUAAUGGGGUUUCAAGGAGAGUUUUACAUGGUUUUCAUGGAGGAUGGUGGCUGGUUGUUGGUGAGUUAUGGAUGGGAUUUCACUGAUGUUUUAAUGGAAGUUAGCAGCUAUUUUUUUUGUUAUUAAUAUGGCUGAAGAAGAUGAGUUUAUGGUGGUGGAUUUGCUGUAUUGAAAAAAAGAAGAAACGGACGAGCUGAAAAAGGAAGAAUACCCUGAAAACUAAUCCUCACGUUGCUCACUCCUUGUUCUCUCUCAAAUUUUUCCGUCUGUUUUCCUCUCUGUUUCUUUUGUUUCUUUCUAGAUCUAUAUCCUCUCCUCAGAUCCGUUUUCCCCCUCUCUGCUCUCUAUUCUUUAUCUAUGUGCCUCUCUAAAAUGGAUGAAUUCUUGGGCAAAAGAAAUGAGUGUGGUCCCCCACUAAUAAAAAAUACCGUGUG
rnacentral:lncRNA from 1 species